AAGAAAAUCUCAUCAAUACCUACUAUUGGUGCUGGCAGUAUUCCUUCAGUAUCAUCACCACUUCAAGACCCAACAAUUCCUAAUCUCCCUCCUGUAUCACCACCACUUCAAGAUCCAACAAUUCCUAAUCUCCCUCCUGUUAACCAACACUUUUUCCCUCUUCCUUUUCUUCCUCAGCUUCCACCAUUACCACAGCUUCCUCCUCUUCCACCUCUUCCAGGAUUACCUAAAUUUCCACCGAUCCCUGGGAAGACCACAAAAGAAGUUAAAACCUCCCCUGAAAGUGUGAAGAAAACACCAGAAUCAGGAGAAGAACAACCAGACUUUUUCUUUCCAACACCACCACUUUUUCCACCAAACCCUUUUCAACCACCACCAAUUCUUCCACCAAACCCACUUCAGCCACCUCCAUUAAUCCCUCCAUUGCUUCCUCCAAACCCAUUUCAGCCACCUCCAUUAUUCCCUCCUAACCCUUUUCAACCUCCUCCAUCUCCAUCGUUUCCUUUCCCACCAAUUCCUGGCCUAACUCCAUCACCACCUCCACCAGUCUUUCCUUUUCCUCCUUUCCCCCCAUUCCCUUUCCCUCCUUCGCCUCCUCGAAUUCCAGGAAUCCCCCCUGCAGCCUCUAGUACUACUUCAACCACCCACAAAACUUCUCCUUGAUUUAUCUGUCAAUGUAAAAUUAUCCAAUAAUGUCUUAGAGUAUUUAGACCAAAUUACCUUUUUCAUAUAUAUUUU
rnacentral:lncRNA from 1 species